rnacentral:rRNA from 1 species
UGGGCCCGACGUCGCAUGCUCCCGGCCGCCAUGGCGGCCGCGGGAAUUCGAUUAGAGUUUGAUCAUGGCUCAGAACGAACGCUGGCGGCGCGCCUAAUACAUGCAAGUCGAGCGAGAAGACGUAGCAAUACGUUUGUAAAGCGGCGAACGGGUGAGGAAUACAUGGGUAACCUACCCUCGAGUGGGGAAUAACUAGCCGAAAGGUUAGCUAAUACCGCGUACGCUUCUUGGACUUCGGUUCAGGGAGGAAAGCGAUACCGUGGGUAUCGCGCUCUUGGAUGGGCUCAUGUCCUAUCAGCUUGUUGGUGAGGUAACGGCUCACCAAGGCUUCGACGGGUAGCUGGUCUGAGAGGACGAUCAGCCACACUGGCACUGCGACACGGGCCAGACUCCUACGGGAGGCAGCAGUAAGGAAUAUUGCGCAAUGGGCGAAAGCCUGACGCAGCGACGCCGCGUGAGGGAAGAAGGCCUUCGGGUUGUAAACCUCUUUCAGGAGGGACGAAGCUACUCGGGUGAAUAGCCCAGAGGGUGACGGUACCUCCAGAAGAAGCCCCGGCUAACUACGUGCCAGCAGCCGCGGUAAUACGAAUCACUAGUGAAUUCGCGGCCGCCUGCAGGUCGACCAUAUGGGAGAGCUCCCAA